rnacentral:piRNA from 1 species
ACUCUUUCAGAUGGCUCAGUAGU